UUUCGUAGGUGAACCUGCGGAAGGAUCAUUACUGAGUGCGGGCUGCCUCCGGGCGCCCAACCUCCCACCCGUGAAUACCUAACACUGUUGCUUCGGCGGGGAACCCCCUCGGGGGCGAGCCGCCGGGGACUACUGAACUUCAUGCCUGAGAGUGAUGCAGUCUGAGUCUGAAUAUAAAAUCAGUCAAAACUUCCAACAAUGGAUCUCUUGGCUCCGGCAUCGAUGAAGAACGCAGCGAACUGCGAUAAGUAAUGUGAAUUGCAGAAUUCAGUGAAUCAUCGAGUCUUUGAACGCACAUUGCGCCCCCUGGCAUUCCGGGGGGCAUGCCUGUCCGAGCGUCAUUGCUGCCCAUCAAGCCCGGCUUGUGUGUUGGGUCGUCGUCCCCCCCGGGGGACGGGCCCGAAAGGCAGCGGCGGCACCGUGUCCGGUCCUCGAGCGUAUGGGGCUUUGUCACCCGCUCGACUAGGGCUGGCCGGGCGCCAG
rnacentral:misc_RNA from 1 species